rnacentral:rRNA from 1 species
UACGUAGGGCGCAAGCGUUGUCCGGAAUUAUUGGGCGUAAAGAGCUCGUAGGCGGUUUGUCGCGUCUGCUGUGAAAACCUAAGGCUCAACCUUGGGCUUGCAGUGGGUACGGGCAGACUAGAGUGCGGUAGGGGAGAUCGGAAUUCCUGGUGUAGCGGUGAAAUGCGCAGAUAUCAGGAGGAACACCGGUGGCGAAGGCGGAUCUCUGGGCCGUAACUGACGCUGAGGAGCGAAAGCAUGGGGAGCGAACAGG